CCCAUUCUCUCUGUUAUAAUAUGCUUCCUCCGAUAUUAUAACAAUCGAACUGACUCUACACCGCGUAUAUUCGAGCACACAAUUUAUUCUCUUCUUCUCUUACUCGCAAGCACUGGGAGAGUUCCGGGCGUGCGCACCAUCGCGCAUUCUGAACUGUCAACGAGGAGAGGAGCCACACGAGUGUUGAAAACCCUCUGGCCGGCCGAGCAUCCGGGGAGGACAUGAUCGAUCGAUAAUGGCUCUUGCGUCGUCAAUUAAACACUCGAGCGAUUACACAUUUUCGUUUAUUAGAUUUUUCAUUUUCCCUGGCUUAUUCAAGUAUUUCUGGUAUCACAAUUCGCAAAUAACUCCAACAACGAAAGAAUGCAAUAUAUUAAAUAAAGAAAGAAAAAAAAAA